GUUCUGGGGACUAUAGUGUUUCUUUAAUGUGAGGUAAAUUAGAGAUUAGUGCCACAAAUAAUAUACUAGAUUGCCUACUUACAACGAGAUGAGGAUGAUGAUGGGCUCUAGCUGCAGUCUGGCUCCACUGGUCUGGUGUAGAACAGGCUCUCUGGAGGCUGUUUGUAACUGUGGUCACAAAAAUCAAUGUUCUGGGAGAACGGUAAGCAGC
rnacentral:lncRNA from 1 species